rnacentral:lncRNA from 1 species
GCAGAGACUGACGCCCUGAAGCAGCUAAGGAAUCACCCAAAGGGGUACACAAAAGAAGGAAGAAAAUUAACACUGCUGCAAAGAAAGCUGCUGAUACUAAAUCAAGAAGACGCCACUGUCGAACAUUUCUCUUUGACGAUGGUAGAUUCAAGUGACCCAUUUUCACUAGUAGCAGUUAAUAAUAGAAACCUCAAGAUCCAACCGCGCACACUGACAAGCACAGAAAUUUAUGCAUGCGAGAUGGAAAUUCGAAGAUCUGAAGCAUAGUUAAUAAGAGAAACCUCAAGAUCCAACCGCGCACACACUGACACACACAGAAAUUUAUGCAUGCGAGAUGGAGAUUCGAAGAUCUGAAGCAUAUGUUGAAGUAGAUUUGUACUGCUUUUAGAAGUGAGUUUGUGGUUUAAAGGAGCUCGCGAGGAGACAGAGAGAGAGAGAGGGGAUAUUUUUAUUCUUUUAAAAUUCAGAUAUUUUUUAUGAGUUAAGAAGAACUAAAGAGUAAUUUUCUAGGGCAUUUUCUU